GACGAACGCUGGCGGCGUGCUUAACACAUGCAAGUCGAACGAAGAGCGACGGAAGCUUGCUUCUAUCAAUCUUAGUGGCGAACGGGUGAGUAACGCGUAAUCAACCUGCCCUUCAGAGGGGGACAACAGUUGGAAACGACUGCUGAUACCGCAUACGAUCUAAUCUCGGCAUCGAGGAUGGAUGAAAGGUGGCCUCUACAUGUAAGCUAUCACUGAAGGAGGGGAUUGCGUCUGAUUAGCUAGUUGGAGGGGUAACGGCCCACCAAGGCGAUGAUCAGUAGCCGGUCUGAGAGGAUGAACGGCCACAUUGGGACUGAGACACGGCCCAGACUCCUACGGGAGGCAGCAGUGGGGAAUCUUCCGCAAUGGACGAAAGUCUGACGGAGCAACGCCGCGUGAGUGAUGACGGCCUUCGGGUUGUAAAGCUCUGUUAAUCGGGACGAAAGGCCUUCUUGCGAAUAGUGAGAAGGAUUGACGGUACCGGAAUAGAAAGCCACGGCUAACUACGUG
rnacentral:rRNA from 1 species